UACGUAGGGGGCAAGCGUUGUCCGGAUUCAUUGGGCGUAAAGAGCGUGUAGGCGGCCAGGUAGGUCGGUUGUGAAAACUGGAGGCUCAACCUUCAGAGGUCGACCGAAACCAUCUGGCUAGAGUCCGGGAGAGGAGAGUGGAAUUCCUGGUGUAGCGGUGAAAUGCGCAGAUAUCAGGAGGAACACCGGUGGCGAAGGCGGUUCUCUGGGCCGAAAUUGACGCUGAGGAGCGAAAGCGUGGGGAGCAAACAGG
rnacentral:rRNA from 1 species